CGGGACACGUGGUAUCCUGUCUGAAUAUGGGGGGACCAUCCUCCAAGGCUAAAUACUCCUGACUGACCGAUAGUGAACCAGUACCGUGAGGGAAAGGCGAAAAGAACCCCGGCGAGGGGAGUGAAAAAGAACCUGAAACCGUGUACGUACAAGCAGUGGGAGCACGCUUAGGCGUGUGACUGCGUACCUUUUGUAUAAUGGGUCAGCGACUUAUAUUCUGUAGCAAGGUUAACCGAAUAGGGGAGCCGAAGGGAAACCGAGUCUUAACUGGGCGUUAAGUUGCAGGGUAUAGACCCGAAACCCGGUGAUCUAGCCAUGGGCAGGUUGAAGGUUGGGUAACACUAACUGGAGGACCGAACCGACUAAUGUUGAAAAAUUAGCGGAUGACUUGUGGCUGGGGGUGAAAGGCCAAUCAAACCGGGAGAUAGCUGGUUCUCCCCGAAAGCUAUUUAGGUAGCGCCUCGUGAAUUCAUCUCCGGGGGUAGAGCACUGUUUCGGCAAGGGGGUCAUCCCGACUUACCAACCCGAUGCAAACUGCGAAUACCGGAGAAUGUUAUCACGGGAGACACACGGCGGGUGCUAACGUCCGUCGUGAAGAGGGAAACAACCCAGACCGCCAGCUAAGGUCCCAAAGUCAUGGUUAAGUGGGAAACGAUGUGGGAAGGCCCAGACAGCCAGGAUGUUGGCUUAGAAGCAGCCAUCAUUUAAAGAAAGCGUAAUAGCUCACUGGUCGAGUCGGCCUGCGCGGAAGAUGUAACGGGGCUAAACCAUGCACCGAAGCUGCGGCAGCGACACUGUGUGUUGUUGGGUAGGGGAGCGUUCUGUAAGCCUGCGAAGGUGUGCUGUGAGGCAUGCUGGAGGUAUCAGAAGUGCGAAUGCUGACAUAAGUAACGAUAAAGCGGGUGAAAAGCCCGCUCGCCGGAAGACCAAGGGUUCCUGUCCAACGUUAAUCGGGGCAGGGUGAGUCGACCCCUAAGGCGAGGCCGAAAGGCGUAGUCGAUGGGAAACAGGUUAAUAUUCCUGUACUUGGUGUUACUGCGAAGGGGGGACGGAGAAGGCUAUGUUGGCCGGGCGACGGUUGUCCCGGUUUAAGCGUGUAGGCUGGUUUUCCAGGCAAAUCCGGAAAAUCAAGGCUGAGGCGUGAUGACGAGGCACUACGGUGCUGAAGCAACAAAUGCCCUGCUUCCAGGAAAAGCCUCUAAGCAUCAGGUAACAUCAAAUCGUACCCCAAACCGACACAGGUGGUCAGGUAGAGAAUACCAAGGCGCUUGAGAGAACUCGGGUGAAGGAACUAGGCAAAAUGGUGCCGUAACUUCGGGAGAAGGCACGCUGAUAUGUAGGUGAAGUCCCUCGCGGAUGGAGCUGAAAUCAGUCGAAGAUACCAGCUGGCUGCAACUGUUUAUUAAAAACACAGCACUGUGCAAACACGAAAGUGGACGUAUACGGUGUGACGCCUGCCCGGUGCCGGAAGGUUAAUUGAUGGGGUCAGCGCAAGCGAAGCUCUUGAUCGAAGCCCCGGUAAACGGCGGCCGUAACUAUAACGGUCCUAAGGUAGCGAAAUUCCUUGUCGGGUAAGUUCCGACCUGCACGAAUGGCGUAAUGAUGGCCAGGCUGUCUCCACCCGAGACUCAGUGAAAUUGAACUCGCUGUGAAGAUGCAGUGUACCCGCGGCAAGACGGAAAGACCCCGUGAACCUUUACUAUAGCUUGACACUGAACAUUGAGCCUUGAUGUGUAGGAUAGGUGGGAGGCUUUGAAGUGUGGACGCCAGUCUGCAUGGAGCCGGCCUUGAAAUACCACCCUUUAAUGUUUGAUGUUCUAACGUUGACCCGUGAUCCGGGUUGCGGACAGUGUCUGGUGGGUAGUUUGACUGGGGCGGUCUCCUCCUAAAGAGUAACGGAGGAGCACGAAGGUUGGCUAAUCCUGGUCGGACAUCAGGAGGUUAGUGCAAUGGCAUAAGCCAGCUUGACUGCGAGCGUGACGGCGCGAGCAGGUGCGAAAGCAGGUCAUAGUGAUCCGGUGGUUCUGAAUGGAAGGGCCAUCGCUCAACGGAUAAAAGGUACUCCGGGGAUAACAGGCUGAUACCGCCCAAGAGUUCAUAUCGACGGCGGUGUUUGGCACCUCGAUGUCGGCUCAUCACAUCCUGGGGCUGAAGUAGGUCCCAAGGGUAUGGCUGUUCGCCAUUUAAAGUGGUACGCGAGCUGGGUUUAGAACGUCGUGAGACAGUUCGGUCCCUAUCUGCCGUGGGCGCUGGAGAACUGAGGGGGGCUGCUCCUAGUACGAGAGGACCGGAGUGGACGCAUCACUGGUGUUCGGGUUGUCAUGCCAAUGGCACUGCCCGGUAGCUAAAUGCGGAAGAGAUAAGUGCUGAAAGCAUCUAAGCACGAAACUUGCCCCGAGAUGAGUUCUCCCUGACUCCUUGAGAGUCCUGAAGGAACGUUGAAGACGACGACGUUGAUAGGCCGGGUGUGUAAGCGCAGCGAUGCGUUGAGCUAACCGGUACUAAUGAACCGUGAGGCUUAACCUUACAACGCCGAAGCUGUU
rnacentral:rRNA from 1 species